rnacentral:rRNA from 1 species
UACAAGGUAGCAAUAUUUUGUAGUCGGAGCGGCGCAAGGGUGCGUAACACGUGGGUAAUCUGCCAUGAAGUUUGGGAUAACUUGCUGAAAGGCGAGCUAAUACCGGAUAUGACAGUUGGAAGGCAUCUUCCGAUUUUCAAAGUUGGGGACCGUAAGGCCUGACGCUUCAUGAUGAGCCCGCGGCCUAUCAGCUAGUUGGUGAGGUAACGGCUCACCAAGGCUAUGACGGGUAGCUGGUCUGAGAGGACGACCAGCCACACUGGAACUGAGACACGGUCCAGACACCUACGGGUGGCAGCAGUCGAGAAUUUUUCACAAUGGGCGCAAGCCUGAUGGAGCGACGCCGCGUGGGGGAUGAAUGGCUUCGGCCCGUAAACCCCUGUCAUUUGCGAUCAAACCUUGUUAUUUAAAAGAUGACGAGCUGAUAGUAGCGAAAGAGGAAGGGACGGCUAACUCUGUGCCAGCAGCCGCGGUAAUACAGAGGUCCCAAGCGUUGUUCGGAUUCACUGGGCGUAAAGGGUACGUAGGUGGUCGGGUAAGUCGGAUGUGAAAUCUCGGAGCUCAACUCCGAAAUGGCAUUGGAAACUACCUGGCUUGAGGGAUGGAGGGGGGACUGGAAUUCUCGGUGUAGCA